rnacentral:rRNA from 1 species
UACGUAGGGUGCGAGCGUUGUCCGGAAUUAUUGGGCGUAAAGAGCUCGUAGGCGGUCUGUCGCGUCGGUCGUGAAAACUUGGGGCUUAACCCUGAGCUUGCGGUCGAUACGGGCAUGACUGGAGUUCGGCAGGGGAGACUGGAAUUCCUGGUGUAGCGGUGAAAUGCGCAGAUAUCAGGAGGAACACCGGUGGCGAAGGCGGGUCUCUGGGCCGAUACCGACGCUGAGGAGCGAAAGCGUGGGGAGCGAACAGG